CGCACUAGCUCAACUGGCAGAGCAAUCGUCUCGAAAAACGAUAGGUCGUUGGUUCAAAUCCGACGUGCUACCA
rnacentral:tRNA from 1 species